rnacentral:rRNA from 1 species
GGGGAGAGCGGUCGAAGGUGGGACUGGCGAUUGGGACGAAGUCGUAACAAGGUAGCCGUACCGGAAGGUGCGGCUGGAUCACCUCCUUUCUAAGGAG